rnacentral:rRNA from 1 species
UACGGAGGGGACUAGCGUUGUUCGGAAUUACUGGGCGUAAAGCGCGCGUAGGCGGCUUUGUAAGUUAGAGGUGAAAGCCCGGAGCUCAACUCCGGAAUAGCCUUUAAGACUGCAUCGCUAGAACGUUGGAGAGGUAAGUGGAAUUCCGAGUGUAGAGGUGAAAUUCGUAGAUAUUCGGAAGAACACCAGUGGCGAAGGCGACUUACUGGACAACUGUUGACGCUGAGGUGCGAAAGCGUGGGGAGCAAACAGG